UGGCGAACGGGUGAGUAACACGUGGGUGAUCUGCCCUGCACUCUGGGAUAAGCCUGGGAAACUGGGUCUAAUACCGGAUAGGACCAUGCUUUAGUGUGUGUGGCGGAAAGUUUUUUCGGUGUAGGAUGAGCCCGCGGCCUAUCAGCUUGUUGGUGGGGUAAUGGCCUACCAAGGCGGCGACGGGUAGCCGGACUGAGAGGUUGGUCGGCCACAUUGGGACUGAGAUACGGCCCAG
rnacentral:rRNA from 1 species